CCGAGUUCCGCUUGUCUUGUGCAAGCAACUCCCACCCCAUGUCAACCUUCUCGUUGCUUCGGCGAGCCGACAGGCAACUGCCGUCGGAUUUCAAUCGGGCGUGAGCUCGCCGAAGUUUUUUUCACUCGAGUUUUGAAGUCUGAUUCAAAAUAUAAAUUAUAA
rnacentral:misc_RNA from 1 species